rnacentral:rRNA from 1 species
GGGCCCGCACAAGCGGUGGAGCAUGGGGUUUAAUUCGACGAUACGCGAAAACCUUACCUAUCCUUGACAUCCUUGGAAUCGUCCUUCACAGGACGAGUGCCUUCGGGAACCAAGUGACAGGUGUUGCAUGGCUGUCGUCAGCUCGUGUCGUGAGAUGUUGGGUUAAGUCCCGUAACGAGCGCAACCCCUAUUCUUAGUUGCCAGCACGUCAUGGUGGGGACUCUAAGAAACUGCCGGUGAUAAACCGGAGGAAGGUGGGGACGAGGUCAAGUCAUCAUGGCCCUUAUGGGUAGGGCUACACCCGUGCUACAAUGGACAGUACAAUAGGUUGCAAAGCCGUGAGGCAGAGCUAAUCCUAAAAGCUGUUCCCAGUCCGGAUUGGAGUCUGAAACUCGACUCCAUGAAGUCGGAAUC